ACUGAGUUGAAAAACUCCAACCCCUGUGAACAUAACCUCUGUCGUUGCUUCGGCGGGCCAGCCCGCCGGAGGUUCCAAACUCUUUUUUAUCUUCAGUAUCUCUGAGCCUAAAAGACAAAAUGAUCAAAACUUUCAACAACGGAUCUCUUGGUUCUGGCAUCGAUGAAGAACGCAGCGAAAUGCGAUAAGUAAUGUGAAUUGCAGAAUUCAGUGAAUCAUCGAAUCUUUGAACGCACAUUGCGCCCGCCGGUAUUCCGGCGGGCAUGCCUGUUCGAGCGUCAUUUCAACCCUCAAGCCUCGGCUAGGUGUUGGGGCGCCCGGGUCCCCCGCGGCCCGGGGCCCCCAAGUUCAUCGGCGGGCUCGUCGGUACGCUGAGCGCAGUACAACGCGGUAAAACGCGAACCUCGUUCGGGCCGUCCUGGCGUGCUCCAGCCGCUAAACCCCCCAAAUUU
rnacentral:rRNA from 1 species